rnacentral:rRNA from 1 species
GUGCCCUUGAGGCGUGGCUUCCGGAGCUAACGCGUUAAGUAGACCGCCUGGGGAGUACGGCCGCAAGGUUAAAACUCAAAUGAAUUGACGGGGGCCCGCACAAGCGGUGGAGCAUGUGGUUUAAUUCGAUGCAACGCGAAGAACCUUACCUGGUCUUGACAUCCACGGAAGGUCUCAGAGAUGAGACUGUGCCUUCGGGAACCGUGAGACAGGUGCUGCAUGGCUGUCGUCAGCUCGUGUUGUGAAAUGUUGGGUUAAGUCCCGCAACGAGCGCAACCCUUAUCCUUUGUUGCCAGCGGUCCGGCCGGGAACUCAAAGGAGACUGCCAGUGAUAAACUGGAGGAAGGUGGGGAUGACGUCAAGUCAUCAUGGCCCUUACGACCAGGGCUACACACGUGCUACAAUGGCGCAUACAAAGAGAAGCGACCUCGCGAGAGCAAGCGGACCUCAUAAAGUGCGUCGUAGUCCGGAUUGGAGUCUGCAACUCGACUCCAUGAAGUCGGAAUCGCUAGUAAUCGUGGAUCAGAAUGCCACGGUGAAUACGUUCCCGGGCCUUGUACACACCGCCCGUCACACCAUGGGAGUGGGUUGCAAAAGAAGUAGGUAGCUUAACCUUCGGGAGGGCGCUUACCACUUUGUGAUUCAUGACUGGGGUGAAGUCGUAACAAGGUAACCGUAGGGGAACCUGCGGUUG